rnacentral:lncRNA from 1 species
UAUAGCCUUGGUGGGGGGCGUGGGCGAAGUUCGUCCGCCGGACUCGGAAUAGCCCCAGACUUUGCGGGCGGCCUCCGUGUGCCAAAAAUAGGCCACGGGCACAGCCGCGCCCAAAAAUGAGCGCCCGAAGGCCGGGGCGCCAGCACCCCCCAGCGGAAAAAUGGCCAAGAAACGGGUGUGCUAUAGCCUUGGCGGGGGGCGUGGGCGAAGUUCGUCCGCCGGACUCGGAAUGGCCCCAGACUUUGCGGGCGGCCUCCGUGCGCCAAAAAUAGUCCACGGGCACAGCCGCGCCCAAAAACGAGCGCCCGAAGGUCGGGGCGCCAACACCCCCCAGCGGAAAAUUGGCCGAAAAAC